rnacentral:lncRNA from 1 species
AAUGGCCAUGUUAUCAUCUUUUCUUGUGGUUCUUUAAUGGGUCCAACCCUAUCUUUUUCAUUGAUUCACGCUUGGAUAAAAAGUUGGUAGAUUUGUUGAAAUCUUUUAGCUCUCCCCUUUGUAAUGGGCCCACUUGGUAUUAAAAUAUCCUCUCCACCAACUUGAUUCAUGUCCAUGCUUACAUCAUCCCCUCCCUUUUCAAAAGAUUCGUCCUCGA